rnacentral:rRNA from 1 species
UUUACACAUGCAAGUCGAGCGGCAACACGGGGGCAACCCUGGUGGCNAGCGGCGAACGGGGGAAUAAUACAUCGGAACAUGCCCAGUCGUGGGGGAUAACACUUCGAAAGAAGUGCUAAUACCGCAUACGUCCUGAGGGAGAAAGCGGGGGAUCGCAAGACCUCGCGCGAUUGGAGUGGCCGAUGUCAGAUUAGCUAGUUGGUGGGGUAAAGGCCUACCUNGGCAACGAUCUGUACCUGGUCUGANAGGAUGAUCANCCACACUGGGACUGAGACACGGCCCAGACUCCUACGGGAGGCAGCANUGGGGAAUUUUGGACAAUGGGGGCAACCCUGAUCCAGCCAUUCCGCGUGAGUGAAGAAGGCCUUCGGAUUGUAAAGCUCUUUCGGCAGGAACGAAACGGUGAGCUCUAACAUANCUUGCUGANGAUAGNACCUGAAAAAGAAGCACCGGCUAACUACGUGCCAGCAGCCANGGUAAUAAAAAAAAA